UCCGGUUUGACACCGGCAGUCCCGCUAGAGUGCAGCACCCGAAGGUGCUUAGCAACUAGAGGCAGGGGUUUCGCUCGUUAGAGGACUUAACCCGACACUUCACAGCACGAGCUGACGACAGCCAUGCAGCACCUGUGCACGUUCCACCCUUGCGGGUGUCAUCCCCCUUUCAGAGGACUAAUCCGUGCAUGUCAAGCCUUGGAUAAGGUUCUUCGCGUUGCUUCGAAUUGAGCCACAUGCUCCACCGCUUGUGUGAGCCCCCGUCAAUUCCUUUGAGUUUUAGCCUUGCGACCGUACUCCCCAGGCGGUGCACUAAGUAGUUUUCCUUCGACCCUGUCGGCGUCAGAGCCUUCAAGGUCUAGUGCACAUCGUUUACGGCGUGGACUAC
rnacentral:misc_RNA from 1 species